GGUUGUAGCUCAGCGGUAGAGUGCUUGCCUCUCAUGUCUGAGUCCCUGGGUUCGAUCCCCAGCACCA
rnacentral:tRNA from 1 species